rnacentral:rRNA from 1 species
GGCGUGUCUAUACAUGCAAGUCGAGCGAGCGGAACCAACAGAUUUACUUCGGUAAUGACGUUGGGAAAGCGAGCGGCGGAUGGGUGAGUAACACGUGGGGAACCUGCCCCUAAGUCUGGGAUACCAUUUGGAAACAGGUGCUAAUACCGGAUAAUAAAGCAGAUCGCAUGAUCAGCUUUUGAAAGGCGGCGUAAGCUGUCGCUAAGGGAUGGCCCCGCGGUGCAUUAUCUAGUUGGUAAGGUAACGGCUUACCAGGGCGACGAUGCAUAGCCGAGUUGAGAGACUGAUCGGCCACAUUGGGACUGAGACACGGCCCAAACUCCUACGGGAGGCAGCAGUAGGGAAUCUUCCACAAUGGACGCAAGUCUGAUGGAGCAACGCCGCGUGAGUGAAGAAGGUUUUCGGAUCGUAAAGCUCUGUUGUUGGUGAAGAAGGAUAGAGGUAGUAACUGGCCUUUAUUUGACGGUAAUCAACCAGAAAGUCACGGCUAACUACGUGCCAGCAGCCGCGGUAAUACGUAGGUGGCAAGCGUUGUCCGGAUUUAUUGGGCGUAAAGCGAGCGCAGGCGGAAAAAUAAGUCUAAUGUGAAAGCCCUCGGCUUAACCGAGGAACUGCAUCGGAAACUGUUUUUCUUGAGUGCAGAAGAGGAGAGUGGAACUCCAUGUGUAGCGGUGGAAUGCGUAUAUAUAUGGAAGAACACCAGUGGCGAAGGCGGCUCUCUGGUCUGCAACUGACGCUGAGGCUCGAAAGCAUGGGUAGCGAACAGGAUUAGAUACCCUGGUAGUCCAUGCCGUAAACGAUGAGUGCUAAGUGUUUGGGAGGUUUCCGCCUCUCAGUGCUGCAGCUAACGCAAUAAGCACUCCGC